rnacentral:miRNA from 1 species
UAAAUUAGAUUUUCUGCCUG